CCAAAGAACUCAUUCCCCAAGGUGAGAGGAAUAUUGUCUGCUGAGGGCUCAUAGCUGUGUCCUCUUCCAGGAAUUGUCCUCAGCCAAAGGACAGCCCAAAUCCAAUACUGGUUGGCUCAGGAUAUGAAGCUCUGGCCUCCUUGCAUUAAUUCUGGCCACACAGAAGGGUCGUCACAGCUCCAGAGUUCCUUGGUAUUAUGCCUGAACGUCUGCCUCAAUAAACUACACACGACAGUCUCCAGAUAACCUGAACCAAGGGUUCAGUCAAGGGUUAAUUACCAUGGAAAAGGAAGGUGAAGUCAGGCUCUAAGGUGUCUUUUUUCCAGAAAUGAUUCAUCAUUUCACAAAGACUGUGAAGAGAAAGAUGGAAUUCAGAGAUCACUGCUAGAAUCUGAUGGCACCUCUCUGAGGCAACCCUACCUCCCCUCUGGAUGUUGCAAAGAUGCAGGAAGAUCCUGACGCAAGGCUCCCAGCUCAGUGCCAGGCUCGGAGGCUUACAGAAGAGGCAGCUGUCAUCAACUGACUCACUUUGGAGCCAUGGGAAAAGCUGUGAGAACCAACUGCCAUGUAGACCGUGCCCUAUGAACAACUCUCAACUGAAGAGCAAAGAGUUAGCUGCUUGGUCCGUGGAUGGCAGUUCCACAGGUGAGGGGACAGUCUAUCUGGAAGGCCAUCACUUGGACAGAAGAAGUUUUUACUGACUCAGGGCAGUGGCCAAUGGUCUGACCAUAUGGUCGGGCAGGAAGGCACACUGGAUAUGUUACCUAUUAUAAGGUUGCCCAUGUGGGGCAAGCCCUGUGGAAAUGAAUCUGAGGGGUGCAAUGAAGCAGGACAGGAUCCCAUCAGAACUUCUUCCAGGUUUGGAAGAUCACUUCAACUUUUUAUUCCCCUGUUCGAUGUUGCAAACACAGAUGUGGAAACAGGGAUGACUCCUAAUCAAGAAACUCUAGGUAUGGUUUCAAACUUGACAUUACACAGUUCCUAAGGGCCUACGGGGCAGGAUGUGCCCGCACUCUCUGUGGCAAAACUGGGUGACAGGGAGUGUGGCUACACGUACCAGUGGUGGAGACAGCC